UUGGCACCAUCAUCGCUGUUAUAUCUUUUCUACUAUCGCAAUGUUUCUGGCAGUGUACAUGUCACCCACCGUAGUAUUUCAUGUGUAAUAUGUGAUUCAGAUAUAAUGAUUGGCCUGAAAAAUACCUGGAACAUGCAAUGAAACUUUUGUGUUACGGCAAGUGAUCAUAUCCAUUGUUAUUAUUUUGAUAUUUUGAUAAUAUUGUUGAAUGUAAAUUUAUUGGCGUCCUUAUUAUCCCUGUAUUAUUCUGAUAGGUCAGAAGUAUAGGAUUAUGAUUGGUCUGAAUUAUAAGACCAACACACGCAGAAGGGAAGUUUGUGUAGCUUUUCAAGAUAUAUUUUGCAUAUGUACAUCUAAUAAAUAAUAAAAUGGUAGCCUGCGUACUUGCAAAUAUGUUCAAAUGCCCGUGCGACUCUGGAGAAUGUGACAAUGCACGUGUCUGAUCGCUGAAGUGUGCAAUCUUUGGAAAAAAGAUUGAUUACUUGUACUUUCACGCGUCUGAACUAAUUAUUUAUCAGUUCAGUUCAAGUUUCAUUUUUAUUUUUUGCAUUGGUUCAUGUACCUUCAUGAGUUCACUGCGGAUCUGAAAGAGUUCUAACCUAAAAAAUUGUACAAGGCUGCAUUAAUCUAGGACCUGGCGAGGAUUGGUUCAGAGAGCAAGCAUCGUUCUGCAGUAUCUUAAGGACGCUGGUUGGGCUGAGGGUGGUCGACUUAUAGGUUGCACCCAGCCAAGACGAUUGGCUGUGCAGAUAUCCAUGAAGCCAGCCUCAUGACACUUGACGAAACACGUGCGUACGUCAAUGGUGUUGUUCAAGCUAGGAACAAUGGAGGCUAGAAGUAUCUGUGUACACAAGUGCACAAUUUGUCUUAGAUAUAAAAAUGUAUGAACGCUUUGCAUGCAACAUUUUGUUGCCAAUUGUCACAUUAUGAAGUGUUCGCUUAUGUCUUGGAGGUUUAAUAAUAUGUGAUAUUCAAUAAAAAAAAUCUAUUUAA